GAUGAACGCUGGCGGCGUGCCUAAUACAUGCAAGUCGAGCGAACAGACGAGGAGCUUGCUCCUCUGACGUUAGCGGCGGACGGGUGAGUAACACGUGGAUAACCUACCUAUAAGACUGGGAUAACUUCGGGAAACCGGAGCUAAUACCGGAUAAUAUAUUGAACCGCAUGGUUCAAUAGUGAAAGACGGUUUUGCUGUCACUUAUAGAUGGAUCCGCGCCGCAUUAGCUAGUUGGUAAGGUAACGGCUUACCAAGGCAACGAUGCGUAGCCGACCUGGGAGGGUGAUCGGCCACACUGGAACUGAGACACGGUCCAGACUCCUACGGGAGGCAGCAGUAGGGAAUCUUCCGCAAUGGGCGAAAGCUUGACGGAGCAACGCCGCGUGAGUGAUGAAGGUCUUCGGAUCGUAAAACUCUGUUAUUAGGGAAGAACAAAUGUGUAAGUAACUAUGCACGUCUUGACGGUACCUAAUCAGAAAGCCACGGCUAACUACGU
rnacentral:rRNA from 1 species